rfam:Helicobacter sp. MIT 05-5294 CONTIG_2748, whole genome shotgun sequence.
GUAGUGAUUUCUGUGUGUUCGGUGUUUCUGCUUGAGCUAUCAAAGAUAGUGAGGAUUUGUCGCCUAAAGAGAUUCUCUUGGCUCUGUUUGUGGCUUUUUUAGGCUACGCAAUUGGGGUAACGCUCAUUUGGGG